GUUACCCUAGAAUUGGAGCGAUAGGAAACCUCGUCCUUGAUCCGAACCGAAAUGUUAAAAUUCCUUCGAGGAUCUCUUCCAGACUAAAUCAGGCCUCGACUCGGAAUCUACAGACAACGAGGAGGAAAUAAAAGUAACCCACGCUUUACUUCCCGGACAUCUUUUAGGAAAAG